AAAAAAUGGAAAAAGCAAACUCUAUACCUCUCGGAGGUGAAGAAGCCUGCCCGGAAUCGGAGGCGCAACAAGAAUGCUAAUUAAUGGAGAAGCUAGCGGUAAUGCAUCCGAGGACGAAAGAGGAGCGUGACAUUCCUCCGUUACCCAGCAGCAUCACAGAUGGAUGGAUGGAGGUGAAGAAGCGGUUCGUUCCUGGCCAGAAUUCAAUUGGAGGCGCAGGAUGCCUGCAGAGAAGCUGCGCCCGAGCUAGUUUUCAGAACAAAUGCAAUGAAUGCUGCUUCAGGAUCUGCUUAUGCUGAAAUCGGGAGUACUCAGGUCAUAGUGGCCGGGUGAGUUCAAUCAUUUAUCCCUCAAAUUGACAAAUAUAAUGAUUCCUCCAUUGAU